rnacentral:rRNA from 1 species
GACGAACGCUGGCGGCGUGCUUAACACAUGCAAGUCGAACGAAGUGGCGAACGGGUGAGUAACGCGUAAUCAACCUGCCCUUCAGGGGGGGACAACAGGUGGAAACGACUGCUAAUACCGCAUAAUGAAGGAGGGGAUUGCGUCUGAUUAGCUAGUUGGAGGGGUAACGGCCCACCAAGGCGAUGAUCAUUAGCAUGUCUGAGAGGAUGAACGGCCAUGUUGGGACUGAGACACGGCACAGACUCCUAAGGGAGGGAGCAGUGGGGAAUCUUCCGCAAUGGACGAAAGUCUGACGGAGCGACGCCGCGUGAGUGAUGACGGCCUUCGAGUUGUAAAGCUCUGUUAAUCGGGACGCGGUACCGGAAUAGAAAGCCACGGCUAACUACGUGCCAGCAGCCGCGGUAAUAC